CUUACUUUAAAUGGAGGAAACAUUCGCCUACAACAGCAAGGGAAGAGAAAAAGAAAUGGCUCAGACUCUUGGGUUUGAGUCCCUGUUUACCCUGAAAUAUUUCAAUCAGAUUCAAAACUUUCUGCUGUGAUUGACUGAGGAGUUUCUGUUUCAGAGGAAGGCCACCGAGGGCAAUAUUAUAUCCUUCCACGACAGAAGUGUUAAGUACCCUCAAUUUCUCUACGGUGAAAUGUCUCAAGGUUCAAAACAAGUGAAUUAUGGCACUCCCUUUCUCUACAACGUCUAAUAAUCUCUCCACAAUUUUUUCCUCUUGUAGGACUUCACAGAUGGCCCUCUUUACAGAGAAAUUCUGGCCUUUCCCCCCUGUCCCCGGAGUGUCUACUUCUAAACAGCUAGGGGUAGGAUUUUACUUAAAGUGGGGUCAGUCAAGGCUAGAAUUCGCCACUGCUGAGAAAAAGUUAAAUUUAUCAAGGAAAUAAACGUCCAGCUUCCCUGCUACGGAGCAGCGAACCCACCUCUGGGGGAAAUGAAACCGGCCUUCAGUGAGUUCUCAAAACGAAUUCUGUAGGUUGGGGUGGACUUCUGGGCCCGAUAACCAAUCUGCCUGGCAUGCUGCUAACCACAUUUCUCCCCUGGCUCGGGCCCGUCCCGAAAGGCAAGGCUGUACCACCAACAGCUUUUUAUUUCCCAGAAGCGGUGGCAACCCACAGUCCUGACUCGAAAGGAAGCACUUCGCUGUGAAACCAAGGAGAUGUCUGAGUGCCUUGGAAAAAUCCUAUCUAGCCUGUAGGGAAUCCAGGGUGCCCACCGAGGUGGGAAAAACUAGGGCUGCAAAGGGCCAG